AGCUUUGCGCAGUGGCAGUAUCAUAACCAAUGAGGUUUAUCCGAGGCGCGAUUAUUGCUAAUUAAAAAUCUUCACAACUAACUGACCCCUAGACUCAAAAACUGAGUUAAUGUCUGCUCUAACCAUUAACUUUGUUUUUCUUUUGUUUCCAUAGAAA
rnacentral:snRNA from 1 species